rnacentral:rRNA from 1 species
CCUACGGGACGCAGCAGUGAGGAAUAUUGGUCAAUGGGCGGAAGCCUGAACCAGCCAAGUCGCGUGAGGGAUUAAGGCCCUGCGGGUCGUAAACCUCUUUUGCCGGGGAGCAGUGGUCCGGACGCGUCCGGGCCGGGAGAGUACCCGGAGAAAAAGCAUCGGCUAACUCCGUGCCAGCAGCCGCGGUAAUACGGAGGAUGCGAGCGUUAUCCGGAUUUAUUGGGUUUAAAGGGUGCGUAGGCGGGCAUUUAAGCCGGCGGUAAAAUGUCCGGGCCCAACCCGGGCCCGCCGGUGAAACUGGGGGG